AUUGAACGCUGGCGGCAUGCCUUACACAUGCAAGUCGAACGGUAACAGGUCUUCGGAUGCUGACGAGUGGCGAACGGGUGAGUAAUACAUCGGAACGUGCCUAGUAGUGGGGGAUAACUACUCGAAAGAGUGGCUAAUACCGCAUGAGAUCUACGGAUGAAAGCAGGGGAUCGCAAGACCUCGCGCAAUUGGAGCGGGCGAUAUCAGAUUAGGUAGUUGGUGGGGUAAAGGCUCACCAAGCCAACGAUCUGUAGCUGGUCUGAGAGGACGACCAGCCACACUGGGACUGAGACACGGCCCAGACUCCUACGGGAGGCAGCAGUGGGGAAUUUUGGACAAUGGACGCAAGUCUGAUCCAGCCAUGCCGCGUGCGGGAAGAAGGCCUUCGGGUUGUAAACCGCUUUUGUCAGGGAAGAAACGCUCUGGGUUAAUACCUCGGGGUAAUGACGGUACCUGAAGAAUAAGCACCGGCUAACUACGUGCCAGCAGCCGCAGUAA
rnacentral:rRNA from 1 species